rnacentral:rRNA from 1 species
CCCUUAGAUGUUCUGGGCUGCACGCGCGCGACAAUGACGUUUGCAACGAGAUUGCGAGGCCGUCAGGUCGAGCUGAUCUUGCAAGCUGCGUCGUGAUAGGGACAGUCGAUUGCAAUUAUUCGACUCGAACGAGGAAUUCCUUGUAAUCGCGCAUCAUCAGUGCGCGCUGAAUACGUCCCUGCCCUUUGUACACACCGCCCGUCGCACCUACCGAUUGGAUGGUCCGGUGAAGCCUCGGGAUUGUGGUUCUUGCCGCUUUAUUGUGGCGUGACCGCGAGAACUUGUCUAAACCUUAUCAUCUAGAGGAAGGUGAAGUCGUAACA